UACGUAGGUGGCAAGCGUUGUCCGGAUUUACUGGGCGUAAAGGGCGUGCAGGCGGUCUGUUAAGUGCAGGGUGAAAGCUCCCGGCUCAACUGGGAGAGGUCCUUGCAUACUGGCGGACUUGAGGGGGGUAGAGGAAAGUGGAAUUCCCGGUGUAGUGGUGAUAUGCGUAGAUAUCGGGAGGAACACCUGUGGCGAAGGCGGCUUUCUGGGCCCUACCUGACGCUGAGGAGCGAAAGCAUGGGGAGCGAACAGG
rnacentral:rRNA from 1 species